CCUACGGGUGGCUGCAGUGAGGAAUAUUGGUCAAUGGACGAGAGUCUGAACCAGCCAAGUAGCGUGAGGGAUGACUGCCCUAUGGGUUGUAAACUUCUUUUAUAUGGGAAUAAAACGUUCCACGUGUGGGAUUUUGUAUGUACCAUAUGAAUAAGGAUCGGCUAACUCCGUGCCAGCAGCCGCGGUAAUACGGAGGAUCCGAGCGUUAUCCGGAUUUAUUGGGUUUAAAGGGAGCGUAGGUGGAUUGUUAAGUCAGUUGUGAAAGUUUGCGGCUCAACCGUAAAAUUGCAGUUGAAACUGGCAGUCUUGAGUACAGUAGAGGUGGGCGGAAUUCGUGGUGUAGCGGUGAAAUGCUUAGAUAUCACGAAGAACUCCGAUUGCGAAGGCAGUUCACUGGACUGCAACUGACACUGAGGCUCGAAAGUGUGGGUAUCAAACAGGAUUAGAUACCCUUGUAGUC
rnacentral:rRNA from 1 species